rnacentral:antisense_RNA from 1 species
UUUUUUUUUUUUUGUAUUUUUAGUAGAGACGGGGUUUCACCAUGUUGGUGAGGCUGGUCUCAAACUCCUGACCUCAAGUGAUCCGCCCGCCUCGGCCUCCCAAAGUGCUGGGAUUACAGGCAUGAGCAGCCAUGCCUGCCUGGAAAUGACUGUUUUCUAUCCUUUUAUCAGAUUCUCAUGCUGCGGGGUGGGGUUGGGCUGCUUUAAAAAGAGCCCAACGGGCUGCUUUAAAAAGAGCCCAACAGGCUGCUCAUGGCUGCUUUCUCCACAGUCCUGUCCCUGGACUGCUAUUUCCUCCUGCAAUGGCAAAAGGGCAUGCCUGCCUGCCUCCUUUCUGAACCCAUACCCUGAUCCCACCCUCCCCCCAGUACACACACAAACAAAGUUAACAAAAAAGGAACCCCUUGUCCGGAAACCAACCCAGGGAAACAGAAGUGACGAGAAUCUUGAGGAAGAAUCACAUCAGUUUGGAGCUUGUUCUGGGAAACUGUGAAAAAGUUUGGGAGAGCAAAUUCAGAGAAGAGGCCA